rnacentral:sRNA from 1 species
UUUAAAACUCAAAAAAAUUGGUUUUUAGUUUUUGAGAAAAAUAACGUUGAUGGAGUAAAAACUAGAUUCCCUAAAUUUUAGGAAAACUAAAAAACUAAAAUCAUGAAUGAAAAACUACAACAAAAUAGUUUUUCUAAAUUGUAUGGAAAUCAAAAUUUUAAAAUCUUGAUUGGUACGAAAAUAAGUAUUUGAAAAACAAAAUCCAAAAACUCUUACAAAAUCUACAAAACAUUCAAGGCCUUAAUAAAUAGUUAAAUACGUUUCUCAUGAAUAUAUGAAUAUGCAUGCAGAAACGAAAAUACAUAUUUAU